GAAAAAGAAAAAAGGUCAAAAGAAAAUAAGAGACAACAGAAAUAUCAAUCUACCCCGUACUCGGGCGAAGCUUGUUGCGCCAUCAACGUUGGAAACUCCGAAGCGGCAGACUCGUCGGAUCGGCGAUGGCGGACUCAAGGCUGUUGUCGGUUUUCCACCUCUCUCUGCUCAUAAUUUUCUUUGCCGACAGCGUCAUCACUGCCGAUGUUUCUUCUUCUCCGGUUGAAGCAGCAGCCGCCGCCGCCGCCGCCGCCAUUGAAUUACACGAAAAUGAACAUCAAAAGCCCCCGGAACAACUACCUAGAUCGGAUUCAACUCUCCAGAUCCAAUUGAACAAACUCAAUUCUCACGUCCAAAUACUCGAAUCCCAUAUCGAUGAGAAAGCUCGUGAACUGAAAAGCAAGGAUGACAUCAUAGAAGAUCAGAAGAAGUUAAUCCAUGGAAUGGAAGAUAACAUUGCAUCAUUGCAGAGAGAGAUUGCAUCUCUAAGGGAGAAGGGGACAUUAGAUGCUGAUCAGCGUGUGGGAAAGGCUCAUGCCCGUAUAGAGGAACUCGAGAAACAGGUUAGCAAAUUUAGAAAGGAAAUGGAAGCUAAAGAUAGGAAAAGGAAGGCUCUUGAAUCUGAAAAAAAUGAAACUGAGAAGAAGCUGGUUGAAUUGACUUUGAAACUUGAGAAGCUUCAAAAUGUUAUUGAAGAAAAACAGAGCAAAAUUCAUAAAACUGAACGUGCACUUCAAAUUGCUGAGGAAGAACUGAAGAAGGCAAAAUUUGAGGCCACGUCUAGAACUAAUGAGCUAAUUGAGGUUCAUGGGGCAUGGCUUCCCCCUUGGCUUGCUGUUCAUAUACUGCAUGGUCAGGCAUUUGUCAUGACACAUUGGAGUACUAAUGGAAAACCUGCAAUGGACAGAGUUAUGCAGAAGGCUCUGGAGAAAAAAGCUCAAGCGAACAAGUGGGCUGAGCCCCAUUUGGAAAACAUCAAAACUAAAUGGUUCCCAGCUGUUAAGAAACAGUGGUUGACAUUCUCAUCAUCUGUUGAACCACAUGUGCAAUCACUAACCACAAAAGCUAGUGAGGUUUAUAAGACAUCCAAGGAUGCUGUAACUCCGCAUGUUAUGAAAGUACAAGAACUUAUAGAUCCUUACUUCCAGGAAGUUAAGAAAGUUAGCAAGCCAUAUAUUAAUCAGGUUGCCACCAUGACAAAGCCCCAUGUUGAUAAAGUACGGGGUGCUGUGAAGCCAUAUGCAAAGAAGAUGGUUGAUGCUUAUGGCAAGUUUCUUGAAUCUGCAUCUAUCUAUCAUCAGCAGGUCCAAGACACAGUGCAGGAUAAUUUGCAAAAGCAUGAGCUCACAAGAGCUCUGGCAACCAAGGAGUUAGUGUGGUUUGCUGCCUCUGCUUCAUUGGCCCUGCCUGUCAUCAUUUUGUAUAAAGUUUGUUCAGCCAUUUUCUGUAAAAAGGUGAAGAAACCUGUCCGAAAUGGAAACUCAAACCAAGUACGUCGUAAAGCUAAGCGAGGGCAUGCAGAAAAGUAGCACCACAAAGCCUAAUAUUCCUUUUUGGCAUGUUCAGGUAGCUGCUUUAUGAAUGAUGAUUGCUUACUCUGCCACGCAUUGCAUGGACUUCUGGAAGACUUAACUUCCCUGUGGUGGCAGCCAACUAUAGAUUGUUUCCAAGGCUCCACUUAGUUUUAUGUAUGUGUGAAGAAAGAUUGUUGAAGCCUCAUACAGUAGAACUAAGAUAUAUGCUUAGUGGUCUGAGAAUUCAUGCUUAAAGAAGGCACUCCUUUUUGUGUUUUUUGUGUGUAGGGCUUAGUUCAUGUGUUUUUCUUUAUAUCCUCUCUGCAGUUUCAAAUCAGGCCUUUGCUUUACUCUACAUGAAUAUUGUUUGUAUCUGACCGUUAUUUAUUGAUUUUAAGUUUAAA